rnacentral:rRNA from 1 species
UACGUAGGGUGCAAGCGUUAAUCGGCAUUACUGGGCGUAAAGCGUGCGCAGGCGGUUAUGUAAGACAGAUGUGAAAUCCCCGGGCUCAACCUGGGAACUGCAUUUGUGACUGCAUCGCUGGAGUGCGGCAGAGGGGGAUGGAAUUCCGCGUGUAGCAGUGAAAUGCGUAGAUAUGCGGAGGAACACCGAUGGCGAAGGCAAUCCCCUGGGCCUGCACUGACGCUCAUGCACGAAAGCGUGGGGAGCAAACAGG